rnacentral:rRNA from 1 species
GACGAACGCUGGCGGCGUGCUUAACACAUGCAAGUCGAACGAUGAAGCUAGAGCUUGCUCUGGUGGAUUAGUGGCGAACGGGUGAGUAACACGUGAGUAACCUGCCCCGAACUCUGGGAUAACUGCUGGAAACGGUAGCCAAUGCCGGAUAUGACCAAUGAAGGCAUCUUCUGUUGGUGGAAAGAAUUUCGGUUCGGGAUGGACUCGCGGCCUAUCAGCUUGUUGGUGAGGUAACGGCUCACCAAGGCGACGACGGGUAGCCGGCCUGAGAGGGUGAUAGGCCACACUGGGACUGAGACACGGCCCAGACUCCUACGGGAGGCAGCAGUGGGGAAUAUUGCACAAUGGGCGCAAGCCUGAGGCAGCAACGCCGCGUGAGGGACGACGGCCUUCGGGUUGUAAACCUCUUUUAGUAGGGAAGAAGCGAAAGUGACGGUACCUGCAGAAAAAGCACCGGCUAACUACGUGCCAGCCGCCGCUGUAA